AUGAGGUCGUGCUUCAGCUGUACAAGACACUGAGCUGCUCGGAGAUUUCUGAUCACCAUUUUCCAGAGGCAGGGAGAGAAGCUUCAUCCCAGUGGACUCAUGUCGGGAAGAUGCUGUAAGGAACAGAAAACAAAGGAAGGAGAAGGUGAAGGAGACAGUGAGAGUAGUGAAGAAGAAGAACAAGGUGAAGAAGCCACUAAAUGGUGAUAAAGAGGGAGAGAAAGCUCAGCAAGAAUGCCCACCUCUGGGCCUGGAAUCCCUGAGAGUUGAGGACAGUCAGAUGACAGCAUCGAGCAGUCUGAGAAUUGGACUGGGAGCUCAUCGAGGGCGUCUCAAUAUACAGGCUGGUCUCAAUGAGGGUGACUGGUAUGAUGGGGCCUGGUGUGCUAGCAGAGAGGACUCUGAACAAUGGCUGCAGAUUGAUUCCCGUCGCUUGACCAGGUUUACUGGGAUUGUUACACAGGGCAGGAAUUCCCUUUGGAGCUGGGACUGGGUUACCUCGUACAAACUGAGCUUCAGCAACGAUACUUACAACUGGCUCACCUACAAGAAUGGAACCGAGGAUGUUGU